rnacentral:misc_RNA from 1 species
CCAAUCUAUAUCAUCCUCCUCCUCUCCUGAAGCUUCAGCUUCAAAAUUCAAGUCAUUGACCUUGUAACUUUCACCCGUAUUGCCUCCAAUUGAGGCCUCUUCCCAUUCAACAUCAUCUUCCCCUUCAUCCUCCUCACGUUUGGACUUCAUGCCCACUUGACGAGUAGAAAGCGAUUCAGAAAUGCCAUUUGACAACUCUUUCUCUUGCUUCUUAGAGGCUUCUUCUAGUUCUUGUUGCUUCAGAAAUGCCAUUUGACAAACUUUCACCAAGGUUAAUUGUCCACAAAAAGUUAUAAUAUCCCGUCAUCCAACAAUAAUUAGGAAACACUUGUAAUGACUGAAGCCCACAAGAAGUUAUUAUAUCCUUUGUCUCUCCAAUAAAUGUCAUUGGUGUUCUACCGAAACCAAGCCCCUGGGAAGAUUUGGAGGGAUCAUUGGAACUAGAACCACCAUUUGCCGGACGCCCGGCAGCACUUGCUCAAGCUUCCCAUGCUCGAAGACUUCCAAAUUCAAGAACAGGCAAAUCCUUCACUCUGCUAAGUUGAUCCAUUAAUGGCUUAAGUUGUACCUGCAGCCAUUUGGCUUUGUCCACUCAGAAAGGAAUAGCAUUUGAGAAUAUGUAUUGAAAAAUAAUUAAUUAUCAGCAAGAGUUUGCAUGUAGUCAGAACUGGAAGACAGGCAUGAUGUAACACAGUAAAAUCUUUAUAAAUAUAUGCAAUUCUACAAUUCCGUGAAGACAAAUAGUUUACAAGACUUGGAUAUAGAAUCUGCCUAAAUAACUACACUUUCUUAUGUACACCUGAGAAUGAUUAUGCAAUUAACUUGAAAAGAGAAAGAGUUUCUCAUUUCAUGAGAACCUUUUAUUUUUCAAUUUUUUACCUUCUCUCAUAAGUAAGAAUAUCAUAGAUGCCAUAAGAUGACAAGACACAAUCCAAUUUCAGUCAUUUAUUGCAUUGGCUAAUCGAAAUUAGCACCACUGCAACACAUACAAGUAACAACCAUUGAAUAUUAAGUAGAUUGGAUAAUUCAAGUGUUAGGUACAGCAAAAGUAUACCCAAGAUAAGCACUGGGGGAGGCAAGGGAGCCAAACCCACUCAGCCCCUCUCCCUGGGCGGGUCCCCAGACUUUUUUCAUGUUUCUCAUCACAAUGUUAGGCACACAAUCCCUAGCCAUCCCAUUGAUACCCCACUGCCCCCAAAUACCCCAAGCCUUGGCUAUCUUGAGUGCAAUGUUUCUGGCACUAUGAAUUCUAAUUUUUUGC